rnacentral:rRNA from 1 species
UACGAAGGGGGCUAGCGUUGUUCGGAAUCACUGGGCGUAAAGGGCGCGUAGGCGGCCGAUCAAGUCGGGGGUGAAAGCCUGUGGCUCAACCACAGAAUUGCCUUCGAUACUGUUUGGCUUGAGACCGGAAGAGGUUAGUGGAACUGCGAGUGUAGAGGUGAAAUUCGUAGAUAUUCGCAAGAACACCAGUGGCGAAGGCGGCUCACUGGACCGACAUUGACGCUGAGG